UAGGGAAUAUUGGUCAAUGGGUGAGAGCCUGAACCAGCCAUGCCGCGUGCAGGAAGAAGGCGUUAUGCGUUGUAAACUGCUUUUUGCCAGGGGGAUAAAAAGACUGUGCGCAGUUAAUUGAAGGUACCUGGUGAAUAAGCCACGGCUAACUACGUGCCAGCAGCCGCGGUAAUACGUAGGUGGCAAGCGUUGUCCGGAUUUAUUGGGUUUAAAGGGUGCGUAGGCGGCCCUGUAAGUCAGUGGUGAAAUAUCUCAGCUUAACUGAGAGGGUGCCAUUGAUACUGCGGGGCUUGAGUACAGAUGAGGUAGGCGGAAUUGACGGUGUAGCGGUGAAAUGCAUAGAUAUCGUCAAGACACCGAUAGCGAAGGCAGCUUACCAAGACUGUAACUGACGCUGAGGCACGAAAGUGUGGGGAUCAAACAGGAUUAGAUACCCUGGUAGUCACACUGUAAACGUUGAUGACUCGAUGUUGGCG
rnacentral:rRNA from 1 species